CGGUGGAUCAUUACGCCUUCUUGAUCAGCCUUGUGCUUAUAUCUUUUAUUAUAUCACGAGUUCUCUUGGUGUUUGUUUUUUAACAUCACCACAUUAUUGUUUACUUUACACCUUGCACCGCCGCGCGUGCGUGUGUGUGUGUCUUGGUGUGGUUAUGCUUCAUUUGCUUUUGUUGUCUACUGCUUGCGCGGUGGCUGCAAUACCAAACUGAAAUACAUAAACCAAAUGAGCGAUGGAUCCCAUGGCUCCUAGCAUCGAUGAAGGUCGCAGCGAACUGUGAAAUGUUGGUCGUGUGAAUUGCAAAACACUUUGACCCUCACGGGGGUCUGCUGAACACCUUACUUACUGAACGAGUGUUUACUGUUGCUUGACUGCUUCAGUACACUUAUUCGAGAGCACGUUACUUGAGACCGACUUCAUCGUCUCUCUCAAAUGUAACAACUCAAACACAUCUUCCAUAUGAUGAUGUGCAGAGCCUUGAGUCGUCGUGUGUUCACGUCUUCUCCUCUUUAUCUUAUCUUCUCUCACUUGCUCAUUUAUAUGUGUGGUUGUUUGCUGUCGCUUAGAACCACAACUCACCUUUGGCUGUUGCUGCUGGUGAUGUUGUUGUUUGUUGUCUUCAUUCAACUACCAAUGAGUUUGUUGGACAGAGUAAGUAGUGUGCCUCGGAUAAGUGAGUAUACGCGCUGAAUUUAAGCAUAUUAGUAAGCGCAGGGUUAAAAGAAACUAACCAGGAUCACCUUAGUACCGGCGAGGGAACAGGUGUGAACAUGAGUUGUUUUCCACUUUAUCCUUUUUGGGUGUGUGGUCUUCAACCUCUUAGCCCGACCUCUUAACCUUGUGUUAAUUCACUUGGAUUGUAGGUAAACGCAAUUGCAAACACCUUUCCUUCGAUAAUCUUUCCACUAAUCUGCUCUCUUUUCGUAAGGUUCGAGCUGGGAUUUGAUUUUUCGUUUGAUCGUUGUUCUUGUUGUUGUUGUCUCUACUAUUGACUAUCUCUCUGCUGCUUUGCUGAUGUGAUGAUGUCUCUUUUGUUCGAUUCACUUUUAAACCUGUGUGUUUUCAUUAACGCACUUCUGAAACGGUGGCUUUUUGGGAUUUGCUCAAACCACAGAACGUGACAGUCGCGUUUAAUUUCGAACCUUGAGAUGUAUGUGUGUGUGUGCGGUUGGCUAAUCCAAUGACACGUUCAUGUUUGAUUCAUGCCUUUACCACUUUAAACAGUAGACCACCACAACAACACAUUAGCGGUGCAGGGGUUUGGUCGCUUUAUAUGAUGUAUAUCAUCAUGUAUAAAAGCAGAAGACAACAUACUUCUUUGCUAAUUGAAAUGAGUCGGUCUGGUUGGGACUCCAGGCUAAAUACCGACGGUGGUAAUGACACAUCGAAGGCUAAAUGAUUGCGGUUAGUAUUAUUUGACAAAAUGCUAAGGAGACCGUUAGCUCACAAGUACCGUAAGGGAAAGGUGAAAAGCACCCUUCAUAGCCUGUUGCGUUUGGUCUUUUCCAACUGCUCUGGCUACCAUAGGGAUUGAAAAGAGAGUGAAAUCGCCUGUUGGUAUUUGAAAUACAACUCUUUGCACACAGCGAAGAACAAUCGAAUUGACACGUCUCUGAUCAUACAAAAAAGACUUUGGGUUUGGUCUCUUCAAGGUUGGCUUUUUUACAAGUUAACCAGAUGAUCUUUCCUUUUGACUUUUGAAUCAGUUGACUGCUCGGUGGUUAUUAUCUACCUUUGUUUUAUAUGUGUUUGUUCAACUGGCCUCGAGACUCUUCUCUUUUGGGUCUCUGGUCUUUUACACGCUGUUAAUUCACUUGUAUCUUACAACAUUGGGAAUCACUUUAAUAGCCGAGCAUGUUGUUAAACUGGAACCUAUUGCUCAUUGUCUUGAUAGACUUUGAUUGCAUGGGACGUAAGCUAUUCGACCCGUCUUGAAACACGGACCAAGGAGUUCAAAUCAGGUGCGAGCCAUAUUGUUUUCUAUUUUGAAACAAUUACCAUUAUGAUGGCGCAACAAACGUAAUGUUUGGAUGAGGGAAGUUGGACUUUUCGACAAGUCUUUCCUGCACCUCCGGCCUUCUGGGUACACACUUCCACUUGCUCUGUCUAUGUGGGUGUGAUUUGUUGUCUUUUUUAAGACUUCAAAUGCCAGUUGUGCUAAAUAGUACCUCAUUUGAGACCCGAAAGAUGGUGAACUAUGCGCGGCCAUGGUGAAGCCAGGAGAAAUCUUGGUGGAAGCUUGCGUUGUGCGGAACUGACGUGCAAAUCGUUACCGCCUGAGCGGCGUAUAGGGGCGAAAGACCAAUCGAACCAUCUAGUAGCUGGUUCCCUC
rnacentral:misc_RNA from 1 species